UGAUGCCUUUUGGUCUGACAAAUGCCCCUGCAGCUUUUAUGGAACUAAUGAAUAGGAUAUUUCAACCGCUCUUGGAUAUCUGUGUAAUUGUAUUUAUUGAUGACAUAUUGGUGUAUUCAAAGAGUAAUCAGGAGCAUGAGGAACACUUGAGAGAUGUAUUGUCCAUACUAAGAGAAAAGAAGUUGUAUGCGAAGUUCAACAAAUGUGAAUUUUGGUUGAAUGAAGUUGCUUUCUUAGGUCUUGUGAUUUCAGGGAAGGGUAUAUCUGUUGAUCCAAGGAAAAUAGAAGCUGUAGUUGAAUGGGAAGUACCAACAAAUGUAACAGAAGUUCGAAGCUUUUUGGGCAUGGCAGGUUAUUACAGGAGAUUUGUGGAGGGAUUUUCUCGAAUCGCUCAACCUCUCACCAAACUCACUAAGAAGAAUAUGAAAUUUGUAUGGGGUGAUGAUUGUGAGCAAAGUUUUCAAGAGUUAAAAAAGAAGAUUGACUAGUGCCCCUAUUCUCACUAUUCCAAGUGGUAGUGAGGGAUUUGUAGUUUAUACUGAUGCUUCAAGAAAGGGCCUAGGAUGUGUUUUGAUGCAGGAAGGGAGAGUAAUUGCUUAUGCUUCUAGGCCACUUAAAGGUUAUGAAUUGAAUUAUCCAACUCAUGAUUUGGAAUUGGCAGCAAUUAUUUUUGCUCUAAAGAUUUGGAGACAUUAUUUGUAUGGUCGACAGUUUGAAAUCUUUACUGAUCACAAGAGUUUAAAAUAUAUUUUCACUCAGAAGGAGUUAAACAUGAGGCAGCGAAGAUGGAUAGAACUUCUGAAGGAUUAUGAUUGUGCCAUCCGUUAUCACCCGGGCAAAGCCAAUGUUAUAGCUGAUGCACUUAGUAGGAAAUCUACAAGUUUUAUGGCUAGUUUGGUCGUGAAGCAAUGGAAGUCAUUAGAAGAAAGUUUUGAUUUGAAAGCUUUGAGAAAAGAGCAAGACUCGAUGAUAUUGAUGGCCUCCAUUCAAGUGCAAUCUGAUCUUAUUCAACAAAUUAAGGAAGGACAAUUACGAGAUCCACAUUUAAUUUACUUGAGGAGUGAAGUAGAAAAGGAAUUGAAGCCACAAUUUCAAGUUUCAAAGGAUGGCCUAUUGAGAUUUGGGGAGAGAGUAUGUGUACCAAAUGAACCAGAUAUCAAGAAUCAAAUCCUAAAUGAAAGUCAUACUUCAAAGUACACCCUACACCCUGGAAGCACUAAGAUGUAUAGAGAUCUUCAAAGUCAUUAUUGGUGGGAAGGUAUGAAGAAGGAAAUUGCAAUGUAUGUUUCAAAAUGUUUGACUUGUCAGCAAAUCAAAGUAGAACACCAAAGACCUGGAGGGUUGUUACAACCUUUAGAUAUUCCUGAAUGGAAAUGGGAAUGCAUUACUAUGGAUUUUGUUUCAGGACUACCCAGAACCUCUAAAAAGCAUGAUGCUAUUUGGGUUAUCAUUGAUAGGUUAACAAAAUCUGCACAUUUCCUACCGAUUAAUAUGACUUAUUCGCUUGAUAGACUUGCAGAUUUAUAUGUUAAUGAAAUAGUAAGACUUCAUGGUAUUCCAAAGGAGAUUAUCUCUGAUAGAGACUCCAGAUUUCUCUCUAGAUUCUGGAGAAGAUUGUAGGAGUCGAUGGGCACUAAAGUUAAGUUUAGUACUGCAUAUCAUCCUCAGACUGAUGGUUAGUCAGAAAGAACAAUUCAAACACUUGAGGAUUUGCUUAGAGCCUAUGUUAUGGAUUGGAAAGGUGAAUGGGAUAAGGAUAUUUCACUUGUUGAGUUCACGUAUAAUAAUAGUUAUCAUUCAAGUAUUCAGAUGGCUCCUUAUGAAGCUUUAUAUGGGCGAAAGUGCAUAACACCUACAUGUUGGGAGGAAGUUGGUAACAGAAAGCUGUUAGCACCGGACAAGGUACAAGAAACUUCCGAGAAAAUUCAAGUUAUAAGGAAAAGGUUAAAAACUGCUCAGAGUCGUCAAAAGAGUUAUGCCGACAAUAGAAGGCGAGAUAUUGAGUUUGAAAUCGGAGAUUUUGUAUUCUUAAAAGUCUCCCCUUCCAAAGGCAUUAUAAGGUUUGGGAAGAAAGGAAAAUUAAGCCCAAGAUUUAUUGGACCUUUUGAGGUUCUUGAGAGGGUUGGUUCUGUCGCUUACAGGAUUGCCUUACCACCAGCAUUGAGCCAUGUCCAUGAUAUAUUUCAUGUCUCGAUGAUUAGAAAGUAUAUGUAUGACCCUUCUCACAUCAUUAAGUAUGAGCUGGUGGAGAUCGAUAAAGAUUUAUCCUAUGUGGAAGAGCCUAUUCAGAUUAUUGAUAAGAAAGAAAAAGUCCUAAGGAAUCGGGUCAUUCCACUGGUUCAAGUAAUUUGGAGACAUCAUUCUGGAGCGGAGACAACUUGGGAGCUAGAAGAGGAAAUGAAAAAGGUGUAUCCUCGUCUUUUCAUCGAAUAGAGGUACGAUAAAUUUAGAGGACUAAAUUUUUCUUUUAAGGGGGGGAGAGUGUAACACCCCUCAUUUCCGAAUGUUCGUAUAAAUUUUUGGGGAUAAUGUAAGCAUCUAUUUUAAUUGACAAAAGAAAUAGAGUAUGGAUUAGAGGUAACUUAUUUUUAAGAUUUGGGAGAUCUGUUAAAAAAAAAAAAAAAAAAGAAUCUGAGGACCUAUAUGUAAACCCUAAGGACCUAAUCGUGAAUAUGAUAAAAACAAGGACUAAUCUGUAAAAUGCACCAAAUGACAAAUCCCACCGCUUAAGCUUCUCUGCCUUCGUUCUUAAGGAAGCAGAGAAGGCAGCUCGUGGGUGAUCAGGGAAAGAAAGAAAGAAAGAAGAAGAAGAAGAAGAAGAAGAAGAAGAAGAGAAACAAAAAUUGGGGCUUUUGGGGUUCCUGCUUUAAUCUUUUCAUUGGGGGUCAAAAUUCUCAAAGGAUAGCGUAUCGCUUGCUUAAAUGUUAAGAAUGGGCUGAGGCAGUGGAAAGUUUAGAAGACGUUGGGCAGAACUUUUGUUAGCAUAUAUGUAGUUGUGUAUGAGCUACCUUGCAUCUAAUGAAAUGUGACUAUGAAUCUAAACCUAUGGAUUUUGUGUAAGUUAAUGGAUCCCUCAUGUAUAGGGUUUUGGAAUGUUAAAUUAAAUUCGUGUAAUGAUAUGAACUUAUGGUAAAUCGAUGUUUGUGGUGACUGCAUAGAUUUCCCCACUUGUGGAUUUA